GGAACCUGGAGAAACACGACCGCAAGCCCAGGGGCAUGGGGAAGGCAUGGAACGGACCCUCCCUCAGGGCCUCUGAAAGGAACCAACCCUGCCCACGCCUGGAGUGUGGACGUUCCGCCUGCAGAGCCGUGAGAUAGUACAUUCCUGCUGCUCUGAGCCACCUGGCCUGUGGCCAUCCGUCUCGGCAGCGGCAGGAAGCCAUCCAGGACGCGUCUGGAGCCCAGGCCUGCACCGACAUUCCGGGUCAUCUCUCCACAUCCCACCCAAGUGGUCCUGCUCCUGACCUCCACGUCCAAUGACACCCCAGCCGGUCACCCAGCAGGUCUUCCCCGAGGGCACGUCCCGGGAGGCAGACGGGAGCGAGACCGGGUGGAUGAGCUCAGACAGCGGCACCGGGGCCUCCAGCUUCAGCAGGGCGAUGUCCGCACCGCCCUGGGCAGACAGGCUCUCGUUGUACUGGGGGUGACGGACGAUCUCAACCACCUUCGUCCGCUGGUCGUCCUCAUAGAGCCUCAGCUGCCCCACCUGCACUCUAAACGCGCAAGCCUCCAACUCCUCCCUGGAGAGAGGAACGGGCACCUCUCAAAGUAAGGCCAGAUGCUCAGGACCGGGGCUUUCCCUGAAUCCUGGGAGGGGCCCCCGGCACACAGGACACCUGCCCGUCCCCACCCCCACUCCCACCCGCCGAGGGGACAGCAGGCUCCACUCAUGGCCCAAGGCAGUGGGCGGCGGUCAGCACCCACUCUGGGUGGAUGAGGGAGCCCCCACAGAUGGGCUCCCACAGACCCUUCUUCAUGCUGUAGAACCUCAGGCUGACCUGCCAGGGGUGCCUCCUGGCCGAGACGUCGCAGCCCCCAGUGAUGCCCACCAGCUCACGCCCCGUGCCGGGCUCAUGAGGGGGACGGACGAGGGUCUUCCCAGAGCUCAGGGGCACCAGGAGAGACCGGCAAUCAGAUGGUCCCCACCCACCCCAGGGCUGGCACUCUGAGCCCGGGGCAGGGCAAGGAGGGGGUCCUGGGCAGCAGGGGCAUUGGGUGGGGCGGACUCGCCUGGGUUCCUG
rnacentral:lncRNA from 10 species